AACGAACGCUGGCGGCAUGCCUAACACAUGCAAGUCGAACGAGACCUUCGGGUCUAGUGGCGCACGGGUGCGUAACGCGUGGGAACCUGCCCUUAGGUUCGGAAUAACUCCCCGAAAGGGGUGCUAAUACCGGAUAAUGUCUUCUGACCAAAGAUUUAUCGCCUUUGGAUGGGCCCGCGUUGGAUUAGCUAGUUGGUAGGGUAAAAGCCUACCAAGGCGACGAUCCAUAGCUGGUCUGAGAGGAUGAUCAGCCACACUGGGACAGGGACACGGCCCAGACUCCGACGGGAGGCAGCAGUGGGGAAUAUGGGACAAUGGGCGAGAGCCGGAUCCAGCAAUGCCGCGGGAGUGAUGAAGGCCUUAGGGUUGUAAAGCUCUUUUACCCGGGAUGAUAAGGACAGUACCGGGAGAAUAAGCUCCGGCUAACUCCGG
rnacentral:rRNA from 1 species